AUGCAUGGUGAAUAUUCCCAUAACUGCCACCGUCGAAUCAUUCUCGUCUACUCCUUCCACACUUGGAGGAGUGAUGUGGAGGCAACCACCAUCCUCAACACCUCAGCCUUCACUAUGUCUUCUCGCGCCAACGAAACCGCUCUCUUCUCCGAUGUUUCCUUAUUGUCUACUCUCAACCUCCGGGCUUCUCCAUUCGUCGGUCGUGCCUUUGAAAGAUCCGGAAAAUUCCGAUUGAAGCAAAUGCUAGGAGGCAAUCAUUUUAGGGAAUGGAUCGAAUUUCACAAGAACACUGUUAAAUUUUGCUGCACCCGACUUCAUUCUUCUAGACUCAAUGUGCUUCAGAUGUCUCGUCUUGCAAACUUCAUACUCCAGAAAUUAGGCAUGGACGGGGGGGUGUGUUUUGAAGUUCUAUUGGGAACUGCUUUAUUUAUGACUUGGACAGUCAUCCUCACACAAGGUGCCUUUUAGUAUGGAAUUAGGUUUAGUCCAUUUUAUCAACAAACUGGCCUAUUGGAAUAUUUAACCUAGUAUGAACCCAAUUUCUUGGUGCCUAGUCCCCUUUGCAGGUUUCAAUCUUGUUGAUUUUGUAAAAGUAGUAAGGUUGUAGUUAUUUAUUCUCUCACUGCAAAGUUGCUAGAGAUGAGAGUAUUUUCCUUAUUGUCCUCUUAUGCUAAGUGCAGCAAUGAAUUUGUAGGAUUGCUUUCUUUUUCUGCUCAUGUCAACUUUCAAGUAUGUGCAUUUCAUAUUUAUUCACAUUAGAUAGGUUCCUUUUAAGGUGAGCUGUUAACACCAUUACUUGAGCCUAAUCUUGGAACAACUGCUGCUAUGUGAUAGCUUUUACUUUGUCAUUAUUUUAGUUUUAUCUUUUUGUGUUUCAUACCAGGCUUCUAUAUUUUUUAUUGGGCCUUUCUUCUCCUCCUUAACCUCAAGAGUUUAUAACAGCAUGCAGAAUGAACUAAAGCUACACUUUGUAGAGGGGUAGUUUUAAUUGGAUUAGUGUUAUUAAUAUGGCAAUUUGUUUGGAGCGUUCAUUUCUUGAAACAGGAAUAGCUAUUUUUUGCUGUAUGCCAACAACUUUAUCAAGUGGAGUUGCACCUUGCACAAGUAUGCAUUUUUACUUCUUCUCAUUGGCUUCUUGCCCUUUCAUUUUGACUCAAAGUCAAAUGUGUCUCCUGUAUUCACUACCUAAAAUAUAUAUCCUCAAUAAGGAUGAUUUUUACUGUGUUAUGCAUAAUAUCAGUGAUGGUAUUUCCCGUGUAAUUGCAGAUUGUUGGGGGGAAUUCUGCUCUUGCUCUUGCAGCGACAGUGUUUUCCAAUUUACAGCUGUUCUAACUCUAAGUUUAAAGUUGCUCUUAGAAUGUCAGUGAUUUUUAUUCAGGAAUUCAUUAAUUUUUGCAUUUUAUUAAUUGCACACCAGUAUUUCAAUUUCUCUUGACUUACCAUAUUACAUGCUUGUUUAAUUGGAAUUCUCCUUGUGUAGACAGCCUCCUUUCAUGCAAAUGAACUUCAUUAUUUCUGGAUUAGAUAUACAUGCUGCCUUUACCAUUCAUUUAUAUAUUCCUGUGUUUCAUAUUGUUCUAAUCUGCAAAAUAGUAUGCUCAUGGUGGUUUGAUGCCAUACAUGCCUUUUUGGAUCUCAAGGAUUUUAUCUGAUGGGCUUGGUGUAUCCAUUCCAACUUGAUAGCUAUUUUGGAGUCUAAUUUUCAAUAUUCUUUUUCCUUUGGUUUUGGGAAAAGUUCCUUCCUUGCCUUUGGUAAUUUAAUAAUCCUCAUUUUGGACAUAUUCUCCAUACUUAUAUACUAAGGAUGAAGUAGUUAUAUUGAUUGGUUGUUUAGUAGAUUAUAAAUCUAUUUCUUCUUGAUGAUUAACAAUAUAUGUACCCUUAAGUUUUGGGAAUAACAACUCAGUCUCUCUCUCUCUCUCUCUCUACUAAAUUGCAUAAGACGAUAUGUUUUGAGUUUUUAAGGUUUUUCUUCUCUUUACUUUAAUGAUUGACAUUAUAUACCAUGGCAGUUAGAACAUCAUGUUUAUUUAAACAAGUUCUUUUAUCUUCCUUAGAAUGGCAACGAGCAGACAUUCUAGUUCAUCCUUUUAAGUUAAUCUGUUCUAAAAAAUUGAUUUUUUUUUCUUUUACUUCAUCUCUUUGAAGCAUUUUAUUUGUAAGCUUGGUAUUAUUAAGUAUCAUCAACAAAAAUUGGAAAGUUGUCAAAUAGAAUACGAAAGUUUUAGAUAAAUGAUAUUUUAUUGAAGUUUUUCCGACGAAACUGUUUAGGUCUUCCAAACUAUGAAAAAGUGGUUCAAUAGGGGCACGAAAGUCUAUUUGAUUAUUUUUAUCAACUCUGAACUCUCAUUUUGACUUCAAAACUUAUUAAACUAUGUACUCUCAAUUGGACUUUAAAACUCUUAAGCAAUGUAUUUAGAGGUAAACAAAUAUUGUUGAAACUUCUAAAGGAGAUGGAGAUGGAAUGGAAGUAUUUUGACCAACAUAUUGGUAGUAUUUCCAUACAAGAUUGAUGAUUCCAAGCAUUCUGUAAUAACCAAGCUAUUACUGUAGCAAUGUUAGAAACUGCAUCAUGUCUUUUGCAGUUCUGCUAUUGUCUGAGCCAUUUGCAAUACAGGCUGUGAUUACAAAUUGCAGAAAGGCUCUUACUUUCCAUUAGUUCAAGAACGAAUUUCAUAAAAGUUUGAGUAGACAUGCAGGGGAACCACAACAGUGGAAUUAUUUCUCUCAAUCUUAUUGGUAUGCAAGAUGAUGUUCAAUGAUUAGAUGUAGAUAGUGGAUGAUUUGUGAUGUCUAUCAUAUUCUUGAGAGCAGAUGCUUUAUGAUUUCUAGUGGUUCUUCCUUUUGUUUAUAGUUAACUGGAUUAUAGUGAUGUUGAAAAAGUUCUAAUAAGAUAUCUGUUGGAAAUUACCAUUUCAUCAUUGUUAUCCGUGUCUUCUUUCUUUCAUUUUUUUUGAAGGAUUUUUAUGCGCUCCUUCAGUAACCCUUCCUUUUUUUUUCUCUGUGUAAUUAGUUGGAUUCUCUUCCUUGCUCCCUUAUAAGUAUGCCUUUCAUAUUUAAUAAUAGAAGAUAGGCCACCUUCCUCAAUUGAAAAUUAAAUAAAUAAAUAAAUUAAAUGAAUGAAAAGAACCAGAGAAUACCCACCUGCUUUGUUAGAUAGUUAACUGAAGCUGCAUCUGCUCAUAGUUGUGAAAGGUGAGCCUCAUGGGUGUGGAACAUGCACUUACACUGUAAGUGUACAUAUGGCAUUCUUGACCUAAAGGUUAAGGAUUUUUUUUUUCCUUUUCCUAAAUAAUAAUGAAUUUUUUUUCUAUUUAUCUGAUGUGGCAUGAUCCAACGACAAAUGUAUGUUCAGGUAAUACAUGGAAUAGUUAUAAUUAUUUAUGCACUUCAAAUGUUUGUAUUUGAUUAAAACUGUCCUAUACGUUUGGCACAUAGGUUGAUAAAAAUUAAACAAUUCCUCAGUAGCUAGUACAACCCUCUUUAGCCUAGUAAGUUUUUUAUCCUUCUGUGGUUCUUCACAUACUAAUAUUUGAAAGAAAAAUGCAAUAGCUGUUUAUCCUCUUUGUUUGCGUAAAUUCAAAUGCAGAAUAUAUUACCCUAUUAAUAUGUUAGUUGAGAUUAGUUAGUAACAUGUCAGACCUUCGUAUUGUUUAGUUUUUGGCAACUGUAAUUUAUGCUCAUUGAACAGUAUCGGUUAUUUAUAUGAUAUGGGUAGCUUGUGUUUGUGGGACCCAUAUUGAGAUCAUAAUUUAAUUUGUAUUAAAAAAAAUAGUACUGCAAAUGUAUUGUUGGAUUUCUUACUAGACUAAAUUAAAGGAUACUUUAACUCUUCUUUUUUUUCCUGUAAUUAUUCAUUCUCUUCAUUGUUCCACACCCAAUGGAUUCAAGUUAGUAUACCUAUACUCUUGAUCUCAGUGGUUAAGACACAAGUGUCCAUUGAAGCUACCUCAAGCCAGGGGUAAGAGGGAUCAAUUGAACCCUCUUUUAACUAAAAAAUUCUUACAUAUGUACACAUACUUGUUUAAAUGGACCCCUGAUAGAUUUAGUUUUGAACCCUCUUUUUAAUAAAAUUUAGAAUCAAAUAAGGAUAAUAGUAUUUCUCAACUUAUUUAAUGGUUAAUAUUAAUUGGUGAAUGGCUUUAGUUAUGUGUAGAGAAUGCAUUUAAUAGCAUAAUAAUGGAUAAGGUUGAUAGUUUCUAGUAUAUUAGAACUCAUCGAGAUAAUUGUAAAUUAUUAACAUUUUUUACGGUAUUUUAUUAUUUACUUUUUGUAUGUUGACUCCCCUGCCACUGAUUGAAGCUAAUGGGGUGAGAAACUGGGAAUGUAAGUUAUUAUCAUCUGAAGUUUUCUAUUUUAUGUGCCUUGCUUUCAAGAAAAUUUCUGAAAAGAUAUAUUAAAUCUUCUAUAGUUCGUGCAACUUCCAUGGUUAGCCUUUAGGAAGAUGGCAUUUUGCACUCCUAAUUAGUUCUAUGUUUCCCAAUCAUGUGAUUCUGAAGCUAAUGGCAUGGUACCAUGUACACAUGCUGAUUGGCAUAACCUAAAAUACUUUCUUUGUUUUGCUUAGAUAUGUCCAAUAGGGGAGAGCCAACGACAUUAAACUCUGGAUAAGGGAAAUAAAACUGCAUAGGUCCAUGCACUAUUGCGAUGGAUAAGAAUGGAUGUCUACUUGUUUGUCUAAACAAACAAUAGUCUGCUCGUUAUUCUUACUAAGCUGUAUUCUUGUCAUAUCAGGUUAAGGCAGAAGAGUGAUUUGAGAUGUUAGAAUCAGUGGGAAUGCAGCCGUUACAAAGUUGCUGCAUUUAAUUUAAGGACUCAUUUUAUGCAGAGACAAGCUUCUGAAUAGAUAGAAAGAGAUGUAAAAAUGCAUGCGAAAAAUGGAGAAACACAGUGCUGCAAUGAUAUUCAGGCUAGAUGUAAACUACACUUAAAAGACAAUAUUUUUUAGUGAAUUUAUUAACAUGUACCAAUAUCAAUACACUUUGUCAACACAAAAAAUAUGCUUGGGAAGCUAAUGCUUUUGCUGAUUUUCUCGUUUUAUUGUGUUCUAUUCUUUGUCCUUCCCAGAUUCUGUGAUAAUGCAGACGGGAGGGACCUAUUUUCUAACAAUAUAAUGAUUCAGGCCAAUUCAGGGUUGAAUUUCUCGUUUUUGAAGGACAUCUCUCCCAACCCAAACAAUGGGUUCUUUAGUUCUUUAUGGUGUCUACCUCAACCAACCUUCUCUUUAGGUCAUUUUGUUGAGAUUAAGGCCCCUGGCAAUUUAAAGAGAACUGCUGUAGAUCAAAGCUCCAAAUAAAGAGAAGGCUUUAUGCGUGGAGUGUAGUGCAGAAUAUUCACCAUCACCUCAUGCCAUUUGGUAUGGUUGUUGUUGACUUGGGAGGGGCUUCUAGAAUAUAAUAUUAGGUGAAGAAAAAUGGAAAAUGCGAGAUAUGGUGCACCUACAAUAGAAAAAUGUGAGAUGUGAUCUACAAGUUUCUAGGAAUAUAAUGAUGGGGCUUUUAUAUAGUUAAUGUAAUUAAUGUCAGGAGAAUUUUGGCAAAAUUUUGUGCUUUCUUUCCUCAUAGUGUUCAGUCUUAGGAGUCCUCUCAGUGUUAUAUAUAAUAUAUAUAUAUAUAUAUAUAUAUAUAUAUAUAUCUUCAUUAUUGCUCUAGAUCAAUAGAAUCAGGAGUUGGAGGUAGAAUUAUUAGCUGCUCUUUUUUCUUAAAGAAAAUUAUUUUAUCUCUUCUUCCUUUUCAAGUGAUAAGGAUAGUGUUUCUUUUUUACCUGAAAUAAGACAAUAAGAUACAUCUUAAUCAUGUUAAUUACAACUGAAGCUAGCUGAUGCCAAAAUGCAUUUGCAAAUGCAAACAAAUGAAUAUAACAAUCCAAACUAACAAUAUAUUUGGAGUUGAACUGAGAUCUCUUAGUCCCAAGGCUUCUGUCUUGCACAAUUUUACUGUUGGAGUGAAUAAUAUUUAUAUAUUUCAUUCCCUUUGUUUAUAUGUUAUUUACUUUACAGAAUUUUUAAAUGUUUCAUUGGCAUUCUUUAUUUAUCCAUUCACUUUGUGUAACCAUUACACCACUGUCCACACUAAUCACUCACAACACCAAGUAUUUUUGCUAAUAUCUUGAAGACCACAUAGGAUGAUUUGACUCCUUGAUGGAGAAUAAAGAACCCUGAUGACUUGAGAGGAGGAUAAGUUGAAUAUGGAUUAAAUACUUCAAGAUUAGUAUUGGGACAUGUGUAAUUGCUAUACUUUUAUUCCAUAUGUAAUCCUGUUUGCUUCUUUUAUGGUACGAGGUUAUACAUGACUCCUAGUUCUUUAAGAUGCAAUUAAUUCAUCUCUCACAAAGUGGCCACAAAGUUGUGAGAGCAUCUCUGUGGAUAUUUAAUAAAGAUUUGAAGGUGGGUCCAAAUUCCAAGCACAUACCUAGUGAAGCUGGUGAGCAUGGUUCCAAUUUUCCAAGUUUUGUUAUUAUUAUUUUUAUUAUUACUGAAGAUAUGGAGAUGGGAGAUUAACUGAAUGCACUUAUUGUUAUCGUUGGAUUAACUAGUAAGUGCAGAAUGAUUCCAAGUUCAAGCGGGUUAUAUUUUACUGAUUUAUUGCACUGUUUGCCUAUUUCUAGACAUAUGCAUUAUUUCCAAGGAUACAUGCAACAAGUCAAAAAGACUGUGGCAAAGGCAGGCAAAAGGCUGUUAUAGGGAUACAUGUCUGCAGCAGAAAAAGGAAGGUAGGUUGCCCUCACAGACCCAAGAGGCUGCUAUACAUAUAUAGAACGUCCUAAUAUACCAAAGUUGAUGGACUUUGGAUCAGUAGAUAGUGAAAUUUGGCUGGGAUUCAAAUGGCCAAUAAUGUUUUGCUUGGAAUGAGUUUGGCUACUAGGAAGUUUGAUAGGCCACCUCAGCUAGUUGAGUAAAGAGAGAUUAGCUAAUAUAGGUAGGCUUGAUUCUUGCAGUGUCCAAUAUUGUGCACAUGCUAUGAGAUUUCUGGAUGCUACUUGAAUGCAGCACCAGACUUUAGAUGGAUUCCAAUCAUCUCAGUACAUUACCAGUGUGCAACUUGAA